CUUGCAUCUGUGCAGUUCAGCGCCCAAGUUGCUCAGCAUAUUUUUAUGCACUUCUGGCUUUCCUCCUGGCAGGCACAGCUUGAGUUUUGGGGAUGCUCCUUUGCUUUUGUGUGGCAUUUACAACUCCACCGCRCCAGCAUCGUCUUCCUGCAGAUCAGCGUGACAGCGUGGAGUCCCCGGCGUGGGUGCUGGCCCUCAGCUGCCUGCUGCCUUUGGGCAGUGAAGGUUGCCAGCUCCUCGAGGCUCUGCAGGGUUACUACAAGGAGAGCUGCACGGGAGAAGCAGUAGGGCGCACGGUUACUUCUGCUUUUGAUGCUCCUCAAUGCUGGGCGACAGAACCAGAUUUGCAGUAAGGACUGGUAGGUCCGUGUUGGUUUUUGUCAUUUUWAAAUGUACUUAGAGGGUAAAAAACCAGCAGGGCCUGCAAGAUGCACAAUGGAGUUUGCUCCUAUGUUCUGACAAAUGUUACUGGGAUAAUAUUUGUGUGUUACUCUAAUACUAGCUCAUCAGGCUGUGCGUCAUUUACCUAAACUUGUUAUGCUUGGGGUUCUGCAGACUGCUGGACAGCAGGGUAACUCCCCACCUCCGAAACCGUACAGACUAAACACAAGAUAAGAGCCAGCAGAUGGAUUUUCCGACGGGGAAGAGACGACACGAUAUCGCUCAGCUUUGCCAGAGCACAGCAGCAGCCUGUUCYCCACAAAGGGUGACCUUGAUGGUGGGUGUGGAGGAGAAGGACAAGGACAAGGCAG
rnacentral:lncRNA from 1 species